AAGGUUCCGGUUCACGCCCCUGAGCACUCGGCGACCCGGCGACC
rfam:Couchioplanes caeruleus subsp. caeruleus strain DSM 43634 Cont077, whole genome shotgun sequence.